rnacentral:rRNA from 3 species
CUCAGGACGAACGCUGGCGGCGUGCCUAAUACAUGCAAGUCGAACGAACUCUGGUAUUGAUUGGUGCUUGCAUCAUGAUUUACAUUUGAGUGAGUGGCGAACUGGUGAGUAACACGUGGGAAACCUGCCCAGAAGCGGGGGAUAACACCUGGAAACAGAUGCUAAUACCGCAUAACAACUUGGACCGCAUGGUCCGAGUUUGAAAGAUGGCUUCGGCUAUCACUUUUGGAUGGUCCCGCGGCGUAUUAGCUAGAUGGUGGGGUAACGGCUCACCAUGGCAAUGAUACGUAGCCGACCUGAGAGGGUAAUCGGCCACAUUGGGACUGAGACACGGCCCAAACUCCUACGGGAGGCAGCAGUAGGGAAUCUUCCACAAUGGACGAAAGUCUGAUGGAGCAACGCCGCGUGAGUGAAGAAGGGUUUCGGCUCGUAAAACUCUGUUGUUAAAGAAGAACAUAUCUGAGAGUAACUGUUCAGGUAUUGACGGUAUUUAACCAGAAAGCCACGGCUAACUACGUGCCAGCAGCCGCGGUAAUACGUAGGUGGCAAGCGUUGUCCGGAUUUAUUGGGCGUAAAGCGAGCGCAGGCGGUUUUUUAAGUCUGAUGUGAAAGCCUUCGGCUCAACCGAAGAAGUGCAUCGGAAACUGGGAAACUUGAGUGCAGAAGAGGACAGUGGAACUCCAUGUGUAGCGGUGAAAUGCGUAGAUAUAUGGAAGAACACCAGUGGCGAAGGCGGCUGUCUGGUCUGUAACUGACGCUGAGGCUCGAAAGUAUGGGUAGCAAACAGGAUUAGAUACCCUGGUAGUCCAUACCGUAAACGAUGAAUGCUAAGUGUUGGAGGGUUUCCGCCCUUCAGUGCUGCAGCUAACGCAUUAAGCAUUCCGCCUGGGGAGUACGGCCGCAAGGCUGAAACUCAAAGGAAUUGACGGGGGCCCGCACAAGCGGUGGAGCAUGUGGUUUAAUUCGAAGCUACGCGAAGAACCUUACCAGGUCUUGACAUACUAUGCAAAUCUAAGAGAUUAGACGUUCCCUUCGGGGACAUGGAUACAGGUGGUGCAUGGUUGUCGUCAGCUCGUGUCGUGAGAUGUUGGGUUAAGUCCCGCAACGAGCGCAACCCUUAUUAUCAGUUGCCAGCAUUAAGUUGGGCACUCUGGUGAGACUGCCGGUGACAAACCGGAGGAAGGUGGGGAUGACGUCAAAUCAUCAUGCCCCUUAUGACCUGGGCUACACACGUGCUACAAUGGAUGGUACAACGAGUUGCGAACUCGCGAGAGUAAGCUAAUCUCUUAAAGCCAUUCUCAGUUCGGAUUGUAGGCUGCAACUCGCCUACAUGAAGUCGGAAUCGCUAGUAAUCGCGGAUCAGCAUGCCGCGGUGAAUACGUUCCCGGGCCUUGUACACACCGCCCGUCACACCAUGAGAGUUUGUAACACCCAAAGUCGGUGGGGUAACCUUUUAGGAACCAGCCGCCUAAGGUGGGACAGAUGAUUAGGGUGAAGUCG